UACGUAGGGGGCAAGCGUUGUCCGGAAUCAUUGGGCGUAAAGAGCGCGUAGGCGGUCCGGUAAGUCAGCUGUGAAAGUCAGGGGCUCAACCCUUGAAAGCCGGUUGAUACUGUCGGGCUAGAGUCCGGAAGAGGCGAGUGGAAUUCCCGGUGUAGCGGUGAAGUGCGCAGAUAUCGGGAGGAACACCAAUGGCGAAGGCAGCUCGCUGGGACGGUACUGACGCUGAGGCGCGAAAGCGUGGGGAGCAAACAGG
rnacentral:rRNA from 1 species